rnacentral:rRNA from 1 species
GAGCGAUCAAGUGCCAUAAGGGUAUUCGGUGGAUGCCUUGGCGCUGAGAGGCGAUGAAGGACGUGGUACGCUGCGAUAAGCCAUGGGGAGCUGCGAACAAGCUUUGAUCCGUGGAUUUCCGAAUGGGGAAACCCACCCGCAAGGGUAUCUCGAAAGAGAGGCGAACCCGGGGAACUGAAACAUCUAAGUACCCGGAGGAAAGGACAUCAACAGAGACUCCGCUAGUAGUGGCGAGCGAACGCGGACCAGGCCAGUGCCUGUGAUCUUCCAACUCGAACGGCUUGGAACAGCCGGCGACAUGGGUGACAGCCCCGUAGAGGUGUCGAAGAUCAUGGGACAUGAGUAGGGCGGGACACGUGAAAUCCUGUCUGAACGUGGGGGGACCACCCUCCAAGCCUAAGUACUCCUCAGCGACCGAUAGCGAACAAGUACCGUGAGGGAAAGGUGAAAAGCACCCCGACAAGGGGAGUGAAACAGUUCCUGAAACCGGAUACCUACAAACAGUGGGAGCCCAAGGUUCGUCCUGGGUGACCGCGUACCUUUUGUAUAAUGGGUCAGCGAGUUGGUCUCACGAGCAAGCUUAAGCCGGUAGGUGUAGGCGUAGCGAAAGCGAGUCUGAACAGGGCGUUCAGUUCGUGGGAUCAGACCCGAAACCGAGUGAUCUAGCCAUGGCCAGGCUGAAGGUGCGGUAACACGCACUGGAGGGCCGAACCGGUGCCUGUUGAAAAAGUCUCGGAUGAGCUGUGGCUAGGGGUGAAAGGCCAACCAAACUCGGAAAUAGCUGGUUCUCCGCGAAAGCUAUUUAGGUAGCGCGUCGGAUGAAUACUCCCGGGGGUAGAGCACUACAUGGGCUAGGGGGUCCUACAGAUCUACCAAACCUAAGUAAACUCCGAAUACCGGGAAGUACUGUCCGGCAGACACACGGCGGGUGCUAACGUCCGUCGUGAAGAGGGAAAAAACCCUGAUCGCCAGCUAAGGCCCCUAAUUCGUGGCUAAGUGGGAAAGGAUGUGGGGAUCCCAAAACAACCAGGAUGUUGGCUUAGAAGCAGCCAUCAUUUAAAGAAAGCGUAACAGCUCACUGGUCUAAACAAGGGUUCCUGCGCCGAAGAUGUACCGGGGCUCAAGCCACGAGCCGAAGCUGCGGGCUCGCAAGAGCGGUAGCGGAGCGUUCCCUAGGCUGAUGAAGCGGUAGCCGCGAGGCGCCGUGGAGGUAUGGGAAGUGCGAAUGCUGACAUGAGUAACGAUAAAGGGUGUGAGAGACACCCUCGCCGAAAGUCCAAGGGUUCCUGCGUAAAGUUAAUCUGCGCAGGGUCAGCCGGCCCCUAAGGCGAGGCCGAAAGGCGUAGUCGAUGGGAAUGGGGUGAAUAUUCCCCAGCCUGGGAGCAGUGACGAAUCCCGUGUGUUGUACGAGCUUAUCGGAUUGUUCGUGCAGCGAAGGGGUUCCAGGAAACAGCCUCCCGUAUAGUCCGUACCCGAAACCGACACAGGUGGACUGGUAGAGCAUACCAAGGCGCUUGAGAGAACUCUGCUGAAGGAACUCGGCAAAUUGCCUCCGUAACUUCGGGAUAAGGAGGCCCCAUGCUUGCGCAAGCAGGUGUGGGGGGCACAAGCCAGGGGGUGGCGACUGUUUAGCAAAAACACAGGGCUCUGCGAAGCCGCAAGGCGACGUAUAGGGUCUGACGCCUGCCCGGUGCCGGAAGGUUAAGAGGAGAGGUGCAAGCUUUGAAUCGAAGCCCCGGUAAACGGCGGCCGUAACUAUAACGGUCCUAAGGUAGCGAAAUUCCUUGUCGGGUAAGUUCCGACCUGCACGAAUGGCGUAACGACUUCCCCGCUGUCUCCAGCAGAGACUCAGUGAAAUUGAAUUCCUCGUGAAGAUGCGAGGUUCCUGCGGUCAGACGGAAAGACCCCGUGCACCUUUACUGCAACUUUGCGCUGGCGUUCGUGUCGGCAUGUGUAGGAUAGGUGGUAGGCUUUGAAGCUCGGGCGCCAGCUCGGGUGGAGCCAACCUUGAAAUACCACCCUUAUCGUCAUGAACGUCUAACCGCGGCCCAACAGGGUCCGAGACAGCGCAUGGUGGGCAGUUUGACUGGGGCGGUCGCCUCCCAAAGAGUAACGGAGGCGCGCGAUGGUGGGCUCAGACCGGUCGGAAAUCGGUCGUCGAGUGCAAUGGCAUAAGCCUGCCUGACUGCGAGACUGACAAGUCGAGCAGAGACGAAAGUCGGCCAUAGUGAUCCGGUGGUUCCACGUGGACGGGCCAUCGCUCAACGGAUAAAAGGUACGCCGGGGAUAACAGGCUGAUACUGCCCAAGAGUCCAUAUCGACGGCAGUGUUUGGCACCUCGAUGUCGACUCAUCACAUCCUGGGGCUGGAGCAGGUCCCAAGGGUUCGGCUGUUCGCCGAUUAAAGUGGUACGUGAGUUGGGUUCAGAACGUCGUGAGACAGUUCGGUCCCUAUCUGCCGUGGGUGUUCGAGAUUUGAGACGAUCUGUCCUUAGUACGAGAGGACCGGGAUGGACGCACCACUGGUGGACCUGUUGUCGUGCCAACGGCAGUGCAGGGUAGCUAUGUGCGGACGGGAUAACCGCUGAAGGCAUCUAAGCGGGAAACCCACGUCAAAACAAGAUCUCGCAAAACAGAGCCGUGGAAGACGACCACGUCGAUAGGCCGGGUGUGUAAGCGCAGCAAUGCGUUCAGCUUACCGGUACUAAUAGCUCGAUCGGCUUGAUCGCUCUCAUU